CCCAUUGCUUAAAUGAUGCUCACUGAAAUCAUAUGGCACUGAUAGAUCCUUCAGAAUGGCACAGGCAUAAUGUGAAGAAGUGACCGAGGCUCAGGUUUCUCUCCCAGGCACGCCAGCCCAAUGACCCCACUGGUGACACCCACAACUGCAACAACAUCACAAGCAACAGGGCAUCAGCAACCUCGGAGGCACAAGCAGCACAAUAAGGGCACUGACAAUACCUCUGGCAGAGGCAGUGGAGGGUGGAAGGUUUAGGCUCUAAAAUACAACCAGAAGCAGCUCAGAAUCAAAGUAAACAAAGCCUUUCUCAAGCACGAAAGGUGUUUACUACCACAAAUGCACCAGCAGAAGAACAACUCCUCAAGCACCAUGAAGAACUACAGUAUCACCAAAAAGAAAAUGACAACUCUUCAGAAACCAAACUUGAAGUCACAGAAGAUUGCAAUCUAACUGACAGAGAAUUCAAAAUAUCUGUCAUGAAGAAACUCAGUGAGUUACAAGAAAACUCAGAAAGCCACUAUUGUGAGCUCAGGACUAAUAUUAAUGAACAGAAGGAGCACUUAACCAAAGAGAUUGAAACGCUAAAAAAGAACCAAAUAGAAAUUAUGGAGGUGAAGAACACAAUAAAUGAGGUAAAGAAUAGAGUAGAAGGCAUUGAAAAUAGAGCAGACCAUAUGGAAGAGAGAAUUAGUGAGCUCCAUGAUAGAAAUCUAGAAAUAAUUCACAUGGAAAAGGAGAGAGAACUAAGAUUUUUUAAAACAGAGAAGUUCUGUGAGAAAUAUCUGACUCACCCAGGAAAAGCAACAUAAGGGUAAUGGGUAUCACAGAAGGAGAAGAGAAGGAGAAGGGGGCAGAGAGUUUAUUUAAAGAAAUAAUAGCUGAGAAUUUCCCAAACCUGGGGCAGAAACUGGAUAUACAUGUACAGGAAGCUAAUAGAACAUAUAAUUAUCUCAACACAAAAAGACCCUCUCCAAGGCACGUUGGGGUUAUAUUAAAAUUGUCAAACAUCAAUGACAAAGAAAGAAUAUUAAGAGUGGCCAGAGAGAAGGAAACAAUAAUCUACAAAGGACCAUCAGGCUGUCAGCAAAUCUCUCAGCAGAAACUCUAUAGGCCAGGAGAGAAUUGAAUGAUAUGUUCAAAACAUUGAAAGACAAAACUGUCAGCCAAGAAUAUUCUAUCCAUCAAAGUCAUCUUUGAAUAUGAAGGAGAAAUAAAGGAUUUCCCGGAUAAACAAAAGCUGAGGGAGUUCAUUGCCACUAGAUCUCCUUUACAAGAAAUGUUGAAAGGAGCCUUCCUACCUGAAACAAAAAGGCAAAGAUGUACAAAGCUUUAAACAAGGUGAUAAACAGAGAGAGAGAAUCAUAAAAUUGCAGCUCUAUACCAGCGUACGUUAGUAAACAAUUAUAACACAAAGGCUAAAAGGAAAGAAAGCAUUAAAAAUAACUAAAACCACUUUAAUUUGGUAAUAAACUCACAAUACUAAGAGGGAUAAUUUGUGACAACAAAAACAUAGAAGGGGAAGAGGAAAAGGACAGAACCUGCAUAGGUGAUAGAAAUAAGAUGCCAUAAGUAGAAAAAGGGCUAUCUCAUCUAUGAAAUAUUUUAUACAAACAUUGUGGCAACCACAAAACAAAAAUUCAGAGCAGAAUCACAAAUCAGAAACGAAGAGAAAACUGAAAAACACAUCACAGAAGACCUCCAAACCGAAAUGACAGACAGAAACACAAGGAAAAAAAACAAUAAAAAUAUAGAGUAAUCAGAAAAAAAAGAUAAAA
ensembl:lncRNA